UCUGCCUUAAGGGCAGGCAUUUGCGCGGGCUGUCGUGCAAAAUGUUCCGUAAACCCCUUUCUGCCUGUCUCGGCACUCGGAUAGGAAUCGACCUGCAAAGGUCCUGAAUGUGAGGAUUGAUCAUGGAGUUACUUUUUCAUCACUAUCGUAACUGUAAACAGUCCCUGUAUGAGGCAAUUGGACUGGAAGGUGCUUCUGAGAUGGCUGUUUGGUUUAUUUUCUGGAAAGAAAGGAAGUCUGGAAUUGGUCAUUGAACACAACUCGCCACUUACAACAGCUUACAAAGUGGGACAGGGUAGAAUAUGCUCAGCAACACAUUUUCAGCCAGUGACAAAUGUGCAAGUUCAAAAUGUUCUUGCAGAAAGAAGCAAUGUUAGGUGUUUACUAAUUUAAGAUUUUGUGACAAAGGGUGAUAAUAAUACACUGAAAAGUUUUCAGAUCUGACUGAGUGCAGGCAGGAUUUUGUUUUACUUCAAGAUAGUUUUGAGCAAAGCUUGUUAAGACCAGGAAUUAACUGACCAAUGUGAUUCAGAGGGAUAUGCUAAAAGUUCUAAGGACUAAUUUUGAAGAUUUUCUAUCACAGGAACAGGAAGAUUUGAAUGCUCUUGAAAUCUAUUUUGGUCAUCAUCUAGCACAGAUACAUGAGAUUGUUUCUUGGCACUCUUUCUUA